rnacentral:rRNA from 1 species
GAUGAACGCUGGCGGCAUGCCUAAUACAUGCAAGUCGAGCGAACGGUCGCGAAGGUUGCUUUUCUGAUGUUAGCGGCGGACGGGUGAGUAACCCGUGGAUUCCCUACCUAUCAGGCUGGGUUAACCUCGGGAAACCGGCGCCAUUUCCGGAUAAUAUUUUGAACCGCAUGGUUCAACAGUGACAGAUGGUCUUGCUGUCACUUUUAGAUGUAUCCGCGCUGCCUUAGCUAGUUGGUACGGUAACGGCUUACCAAGGCACCGAUGCAUAGCCUACCUGAGAGGACGAUCAGCCGCACUGGAACUAGGACGCGGUCCAGACUCGUACGGGAGACAGCAGUAGGGAAUCUACCGGAGUGAGCGGAAGCGUGACGUGGCAACGGCGCGUGAGUGAUGAAGGGCUUCGGCGCGUGAAACACUGAUAUUAGAGAAGAGCAAAUGUGUAUGAAACGGUACGCAACUGGACGGUACCGAGGCAUAAAGCCACGGCUAACUACGU